CGUAAACCCAAGGUUUCCAGGGGAAGGUUCGUCCGCCCUGGGUUAGUCGGGACCUAAGCUGAGGCCGAAAGGCGUAGGUGAUGGACAACAGGUUGAUAUUCCUGUACUACCGAUAACCGUUUGAGAGCAGGGAUGACACAGUAGGAUAAGCUAAGCACACUGUUGGUUAUGUGUGCCCAAGCAUUGAGGCAGUCAAAGUAGG
rnacentral:rRNA from 1 species